GUUUCGGGAACAGCCUCUUCCCUGUUUCUCCAAUUGAGGAACGGGAGAAAACCUGGGGUUGUUGUGUCUUGUAAAUAUUCUAGAUAUGAACACUCAUCCCUCUCUACUUGGCUGAUCCAGUCUGAUUAGCUUGCAGGUGCAGAUGCAAAAAAAAACUGCUGUCUAUAGAAGAUCAAGAUUUUUUUUUUGUUUUAAGUUGUCCUAAACAUAGUUUGUUUUGAAAUCCUUUAAUCCAUUAAAUUGAAAUGCAAAGUGCAGACCUCAGAAGAAAGGGAGUAUCAUAAAGGCUUGACCUUCAUGAAAGGAUCUGCUAUCUGAAAUACUUCUCCUUUCGUAUUACAUCUGCACUUGUAUUUUAAUAAAGUGGUUCGUGAUUUCUCUUAGGCUGAGGCGUAUCUUAAGUACUGCAAGUUAUUUGCCGUAUAAAAAUAACUUUGUGAUGAAA